UUAAAUUGUUCACAAAAUGUGAUGGCGAUAGUCUUCUUAUAAGGCUUUUGCAUUUAUCAUCCGUUAAAUUAUUUCUCUUCUAGUGUGGCUGCAAUUUGACUUUACAGGUCUAUUACGAUGACUAUGCAUUUUCCUUUCCCUUUAGCAUGAGGAAUGUACGAAUGGUUGUCCAUGUAGCGUUUGGAUAUUUCUGAAAAGAAAACUAAAAAAGCCAUAUGGUCAGAACUUAUAAAGGAACUUAUUGGUUUGGAAGAAAUCAUGAGGGCUACAUACAAGGAAGUGGCUAGACGUAAUAAAGAAGAGUACGUCAUAUUAUUGGGUAAACAGGGAUAUGGAAUGGAUCUAUUGCAUAAUUAUUUGCUGGGAACAGUUAAUGAUGAAAGCUGGCAAAAAACCGAUAUAGAUAUUAAAUACGGAACAACAGGGAAAGAAAAACCUAAGAGAAAAUCUACAAAAAGUACACCGUACUUCGUAAAUGAAGAAGUUAAAGGAUUUAAUUCAAAAUAUAAAAGAAAAGUUAAAAUGACAUUCUUGAAUGCAGACAGGAAAGACUAUUUAUCGACACUUUCAAUUUCUGAAGAAUAUCAUGUAGUCUUUUGCUUUCCUGUUUCAUUUCGUUUUACUACUGAAGAUAUGGAUUUAUUGGAAACGUAUCUGCAAUAUCGACAAAGGGAAUAUCAUACGAGAGUCACCAUAGCUUUUACAUAUAGUGAAUGGCUAGAAUGUGACGCCAACCUUUACAUUAACAAUCUUCCAAAGGAAUUUAGAGAUUAUUUAGAAAAGUUUGGAGACAGCUACAUUUUUUUUAACAGUACAGAGAAAAAAGACGACAAAACUGCAAAACCCUUGGUCAAACCAUUACCUAGCGACGAAUUUAGACGGAAAUUAUUUACUGUGUGUGUCAUUUUUUCUUUCGUUUGUCCUUAUUCUAUAGAGGUUGUUGCAAAAUUACUUUUAUAUUGACAUUAGGUGGACUAUUGGACAAUGAGCGUAACAUACUCGUAUAAAUGACUGUUUAAAAUCAAACUGUUACUUACAACGGCAGACUUUCAGAUGAAUUAAUAGCGUUCAUUUUUAAACAGGACGCAAAUGUUUUUGUUUUAGAUAAGUUAAAAGUUUCUGAAACUAAGUAGCUUUCGAAAGUUUUCACAGAUGCAAUUACAACCACAUUCGGAAAUAAAUAAUAUAUUUUCAAAUUUAUUUUUCUCUCCAUAAAUUAGCGUAGUUAGGAUAGCUUUAUGUGUAUUUGUUGUCAAAAAUAAGAU